UACGUAGGGGGCAAGCGUUGUCCGGAAUUAUUGGGCGUAAAGAGCGCGCAGGCGGUCGUGCAAGUCGCGUGUGAAAGCCCCCGGCUCAACUGGGGAGGGUCACGCGAUACUGCUCGACUUGAAGGCAGGAGAGGGAAGUGGAAUUCCCGGUGUAGUGGUGAAAUGCGUAGAUAUCGGGAGGAACACCAGCGGCGAAGGCGGCUUUCUGGACCAAUACUGACGCUGAGACGCGAAAGCGUGGGGAGCAAACAGG
rnacentral:rRNA from 1 species